rnacentral:rRNA from 1 species
GACGAACGCUGGCGGCGUGCUUAACACAUGCAAGUCGAACGGAAAGGCCCUGCUUUUGUGGGGUGCUCGAGUGGCGAACGGGUGAGUAACACGUGAGUAACCCGCCCUUGACUUUGGGAUAACUUCAGGAAACUGGGGCUAAUACCGGAUAGGAGCUCCUGCUGCAUGGUGGGGGUUGGAAAGUUUCGGCGGUUGGGGAUGGACUCGCGGCUUAUCAGCUUGUUGGUGGGGUAGUGGCUUACCAAGGCUUUGACGGGUAGCCGGCCUGAGAGGGUGACCGGCCACAUUGGGACUGAGAUACGGCCCAGACUCCUACGGGAGGCAGCAGUGGGGAAUAUUGCACAAUGGGCGGAAGCCUGAUGCAGCAACGCCGCGUGCGGGAUGACGGCCUUCGGGUUGUAAACCGCUUUCGCCUGUGACGAAGCGUGAGUGACGGUAAUGGGUAAAGAAGCACCGGCUAACUACGUGCCAGCAGCCGCGGUGAUACGUAGGGUGCGAGCGUUGUCCGGAUUUAUUGGGCGUAAAGGGCUCGUAGGUGGUUGAUCGCGUCGGAAGUGUAAUCUUGGGGCUUAACCCUGAGCGUGCUUUCGAUACGGGUUGACUUGAGGAAGGUAGGGGAGAAUGGAAUUCCUGGUGGAGCGGUGGAAUGCGCAGAUAUCAGGAGGAACACCAGUGGCGAAGGCGGUUCUCUGGGCCUUUCCUGACGCUGAGGAGCGAAAGCGUGGGGAGCGAACAGGCUUAGAUACCCUGGUAGUCCACGCUGUAAACGGUGGGUACUAGGUGUGGGGUCCAUUCCACGGGUUCCGUGCCGUAGCUAACGCUUUAAGUACCCCGCCUGGGAAGUACGGCCGCAAGGCUAAAACUCAAAGGAAUUGACGGGGCCCCGCACAAGCGGCGGAGCAUGCGGAUUAAUUCGAUGCAACGCGUAGAACCUUACCUGGGUUUGACAUGGAUCGGGAGUGCUCAGAGAUGGGUGUGCCUCUUUUGGGGUCGGUUCACAGGUGGUGCAUGGCUGUCGUCAGCUCGUGUCGUGAGAUGUUGGGUUAAGUCCCGCAACGAGCGCAACCCUUGUUCACUGUUGCCAGCACGUUAUGGUGGGGACUCAGUGGAGACCGCCGGGGUCAACUCGGAGGAAGGUGGGGAUGACGUCAAGUCAUCAUGCCCCUUAUGUCCAGGGCUUCACGCAUGCUACAAUGGCUGGUACAGAGAGUGGCGAGCCUGUGAGGGUGAGCGAAUCUCGGAAAGCCGGUCUCAGUUCGGAUUGGGGUCUGCAACUCGACCUCAUGAAGUCGGAGUCGCUAGUAAUCGCAGAUCAGCAACGCUGCGGUGAAUACGUUCCCGGG